rnacentral:lncRNA from 1 species
CCUUCUUUGUUUUUUAAUGACACUGAAGAUUAAACUCAUGGGUACUCUACUGCUAUGCUACAUCCCCAGCCCUUUUUGAAAUUUUUUUAUUUUGAGACAGAGUCUUGCAAAGUUGCCAAGGUUGGCCCCACUUGUGAUCCUCCUGUGUUAGCCUCCUGAAUGUAACUACAGGUGUGAACUACCACAUUUUACUGGUUUCUUUAUUUCUAAGCUCUCAGAUAGGCUUUUAGUAACUAGUUUAUAAGAUAGGUCAGAGACCAUUUGUGGCUACAUUUAUGGGAAAGGAAAGGACCUGAAUUGUAUUCUUCUGCUAGUCCUCAUUCUGUCCAUAACCUCCCCUCUUUGUAUUCUUUAGGGUCAAAGCACGAGUUGGGAGCUCUCAGCGACAGCACCAGUCAGCAGCCAAAGACCUAACUCAGUCCCCUGAAGUCUCCCCAACUACUAUCCAGGUGACAUACCUUCCCUCCAGUCAGAAGAGUAAACGUGCCAAGCAUUUCCUCGAAUUGAAGAGCUUUAAGGAUAACUAUAACACAUUGGAGAGCACUCUGUGAUGGAGCUGAAGGACUCUCGCUGCAGACUGAGCCAGACAUCUGUGAUGUCUACUGGGCAGCCCUCAGGAAAUCUGGCUCAGCAGGCCCAGGCUGUUUUAGCCAAAGCUCCUGCUGUGUCCAGGGUUCUUAGAGCUUGUGUCUGAAAGGUCAUUCCCCAACUUUUUCUUACAGGCAUUUUCAGAAUAUCAGAUAAGAUUUUAUUUUCCCCUCAGUAGAAUUUUUUUUUUUUCUUCUGUGUUUGAAUUCAGAUGUCAUUCUUAUUUCUGUCACAAGUUUUCUUAAAAAUCUUCACUUGUUUUUGGCCAUAGUCCACCUAUUUAAUCCCAAAGGUGAAAAGUAAGGUAUCUUCCAUGUCUGUCCCAUUGUUCUCAAUUGAGUGGGAACUGCUUGGUUUUAGGGUGUCUUGGAGUUGUUUAGUGGAAGAGGUGGGCAGGAUCAGGGGUGGGGUGAGGAAGUGUGUGGUAUGUGUAACAACUUACCCUGAAACUCCAUUUAAAUCAGGAUGUGUUGAAACAUUAACACAACUUUCCUCGUGUGCACUGAUCUGCCUUUCCACCUUCAUUCAACCCUCUUUAUAAAUAAAUGAACAAAAGGGAAUGUUCUGACACCUGGAAUAAUCUAUGCCGAGAUGCAAGAUGAUAUGGAGGAAUGGUUUCCCCUAAUAAGGCAGUGUACUGGUAUGGUUUUAUGGAUUAGUUAUUUAAUAAAAUGAACCAUUAAAAAACAGAACAUAUGACUCAUUUCUUUAUUGUUGUCUUUUGGU